ACGGGAGGCAGCAGUGGGGGAUAUUGCACAAUGGGCGAAAGCCUGAUGCAGCAACGCCGCGUGAGGGAAGAAGGUCUUCGGAUUGUAAACCUUUGUCCUUAGUGACGAAGAAAGUGACGGUAGCUAAGGAGGAAGCCACGGCUAACUACGUGCCAGCAGCCGCGGUAAUACGUAGGUGGCAAGCGUUGUCCGGAAUUACUGGGUGUAAAGGGAGCGCAGGCGGGAAGGCAAGUCAGACGUGAAAUCUAUGGGCUUAACCCAUAGCGUGCGUUUGAAACUGUUUUUCUUGAGUGAAGUAGAGGCAGGCGGAAUUCCGAGUGUAGCGGUGAAAUGCGUAGAUAUUCGGAGGAACACCAGUGGCGAAGGCGGCCUGCUGGGCUUUUACUGACGCUGAGGCUCGAAAGUGUGGGGAGCAAACAGGAUUAGAUACCCUGGUA
rnacentral:rRNA from 1 species